UAAAACAUAGCGUUAAUGCAUCAGAUCCCAUUAGAACUCCAUUUCUAAGCACACUCAGGCUAGAGUAGUACUGAUAUGGGUGACUGCUUGGGAAGUCUUGGUGUUUUAC
rnacentral:rRNA from 1 species